GUGAGCAUUACUGAGUCUCUCCAAGCAAGGUUGAGCAAUUCCCCUGGAGUGGCCUCAUGCAGAAACAGGCAUUGCAACAAUGGAGGAAAAGAGAAACGAGAAAUACAAAAUACGGAAAAGAGAAAUACAAUGGAGGUGAAGAAUAACUGGAAAAGAAGAUCUACACAGAGGCACAGAUCUUCAAAGAUCCACAGGAGAAUUGGAAAGUCCAUUUAGUUACAAGUCUGGACUCAGAGAGGUCACAAGCUUCAGCAAGUGAGCAACAAAUUUCCCCAACUUCCAGCUCCCCAGCCUCAGCUCCAUCCUGACUGCUUCCUGUAGUGGUUGUCUCAUUGUCACCAGAGGCUGAUAUCUCCAUGUCUGCAGUAGCAGGGAUUCUUCUCGCCAGAAGGCUGCCUGCCUAGGCCGUGGCUAUAGUUCUGUCCCUGAUGCAGAGUAGAGCGAGUGGCUGGGCCAGGAGGACAUUCAACGGCUAGACUCGUGAGCACAGAAAACUGAGUCCAAUGCCUACCGCUCCCAACUGUGAGUCAGAUCUACUGGGAUGAGGAGAGGCAGGAUGAUAAUUGAGGAAGGAAUAAAAAUAUGUCUUCUGUUUGUUCUGAGAAUUAGGUUGAGUUUUUCCCUCCAAGGUUGCAUUCACACUGCUGCUCAUUUUUGGGAAUGUUCAUACAGUCAUGCAUCUUAAACAGAAAAUGUACUUUUUGCAAUGCUAACCAGACUAGAUAGUAUUAUGAUUUACAAAUAGGUUAUAGCGGGAACUGAUGGUGCAGAAUAUUGGAUUAUGGGAACAACUGCAACUCUCCUUUUCAAGGUGCUUGUAUGCAAAUGUACACAUGGGUGAUAGAGGCUAACAUCAUGGGCUGAUCAGAGGUUGGAGUCAACAUUUUGACAGUAAUUGGGAGAUGACAGGUAGGAUGUGGAUAGGCCAUAAAGGGCCCUGAAAGUGAAGCCAAGCAUCUUAUGUUUGGUGCAAUAGAACAGGGGAGCUAGUGGAGGGAUUCAAAGAAAGGGGGGUUGUACACAUACAAUAGUCUGCAAAAAUCUCAUGGUAAAACAGUUCUCCCAAUUCCCACAAUGAAACAUAAACAGGUACAGCGAUUUUCCUUUCUCCUCCUCAGGGACAUCACUGUCAUGUCACCCAGCUAUAAGUCCACUAGCACUCAGUUCCCAGUUCCUUUCUGUCCUUGUUCUCAGGCCCCUACCCCCACCCCGCCAUCCACCUGAGAGUGACCAGCAGUCUCAUGACUCUUUGGCCCAAAAUAUAGUCCAACAACUCGGCCCUUUUCAGCAUCCUGGCGCUGGCUCUCCAGCUCAAGAAGGUCAGCAAACUAUCCCCUCCACUGGGCUUGUAGACCUUCUUCCCCAUUCCCAGAGAGGGACUGCAUAGUUUUCAUCUCCCCCAGGUUCCCUGUUUCUCCCAGGUAGCACUCUCCUUUCUUUGCUCUCAAUCUAUGCUUUCAGGCAGCUCUCUCCUGUCUUCCCUAUAUGUUGCCCAACUGACUUCUUUUCACCCCAACUGGGAGGCAGCUAAUCAGUUAUAGGUGCAAUGGACCCUAUUCCCUCUCAAAGGGGCCAGUCACCCUGUGACAGGGGUGACAUGGUCAAAGUGACAGGAUGCUCUUUGCAGCUGCAUUGUGAAUGGAUAUAAGCUUGCAUCUGUCAAGACUAGAAAGGAUGUCGCAGUAAUUAAAAUGUGAGGAUGUAGGAGCAGGAUUUUAUAUUUGUACUAUAAGAAAAAACAUAUGAUUUGAUUUCAUCCUGCCAGCCACCCUUUUUGAAUAGCAGAAAAGAAUGACCCUCUG